CGUACACUCCUACGGGAGGCAGCAGUGGGGAAUAUUGGACAAUGGGCGCAAGCCUGAUCCAGCCAUGCCGCGUGAGUGAUGAAGGCCCUAGGGUUGUAAAGCUCUUUCACCGGUGAAGAUAAUGACGGUAACCGGAGAAGAAGCCCCGGCUAACUUCGUGCCAGCAGCCGCGGUAAUACGAAGGGGGCUAGCGUUGUUCGGAUUUACUGGGCGUAAAGCGCACGUAGGCGGACUAUUAAGUCAGGGGUGAAAUCCCGGGGCUCAACCCCGGAACUGCCUUUGAUACUGGUAGUCUUGAGUUCGAGAGAGGUGAGUGGAAUUCCGAGUGUAGGGGUGAAAUUCGUAGAUAUUCGGAGGAACACCAGUGGCGAAGGCGGCUCACUGGCUCGAUACUGACGCUGAGGUGCGAAAGCGUGGGGAGCAAACAGGAUUAGAUACCCCAGUAGUCCCAUG
rnacentral:rRNA from 1 species